UACGUAGGGGGCUAGCGUUGUCCGGAUUUAUUGGGCGUAAAGAGCGUGUAGGCGGCCAGGUAGGUCUGCUGUGAAAACUCGAGGCUCAACCUCGAGACGCCGAUGGAAACCAUGUGGCUAGAGUCCGGAAGAGGAGAGUGGAACUCCUGGUGUAGCGGUGAAAUGCGCAGAUAUCAGGAAGAACACCCGUGGCUAAGGCGGCUCUCUAGUACGGUACUGACGCUGAGACGCGAAAGCGUGGGGAGCAAACAGG
rnacentral:rRNA from 1 species